rnacentral:tRNA from 1 species
UCCCCAGUGGCUCAGCUGUAAAGAAUCUGCCUGCAAUGCAGGAGGCCCAGGUUCGAUCCCUGGAUCAGGAG